rnacentral:lncRNA from 1 species
CACAUUAUUAGUAAAAGUGAAAAUAAAAUACAAAACAAUUCAGAGCAAACAUCAUUCACCUUUUUCACCCUCUCUUUCAACAUUACUGUUCCAUUUAACCAAAAGUUUGGUCUUCUCAUCUUCUUCAUUAUUUCCAAUGGACAAAUGCACACUCAUCACCAUGUGAUUGUAAAAUAAUAAUCCCAAAACACAAACGUCAUCAUCUGGAGUAAAGUGUCACCAUUCAUUGGUUUAUGAUUUUUC